GCCCGCAUAGCUCAGUGGUAGAGCAUUGUACUUAUGAGGAUAAAUGUUAUGCAAGGGUCUCCAGUUCGAUCCUGGGUGGGGGCA